GACCUCUCCUGUGGCCUAAUGAUAAUAGCGUUCGCCUUGCAUGCGGGUGGUCGCUGGUUUAAACCCUGGCAGAGUCA